AACGAACGUUGGCGGCGUGGAUUAGGCAUGCAAGUCGGGGGAAUCCCAGCAAUGGGGGAACCGGCGUAAGGGGCAGUAAGGCGUGGGUACCUACCCCGGGGUUCGGGAUAGCCAUCAGAGAUGGUGGGUAAUACCGGAUGACCUCGUGAGAGCAAAGAUUUAUCGCCCCGGGAGGGGCCCACGUGAUAUUAGCUUGUUGGUGAGGUAACGGCUCACCAAGGCGAAGAUGUCUAGCGGGUGUGAGAGCACGACCCGCGCCACUCGCACUGAGACACUGGCGAGACACCUACGGGUGGCUGCAGUCGAGGAUCUUCGGCAAUGGGCGCAAGCCUGACCGAGCGACGCCGCGUGCGCGAUGAAGGCCUUCGGGUUGUAAAGCGCUUUAGUGGGGGAGAAAAGCCGAAAGGUUUGAUCUAACCCAAAAAUAAGCACGGGCUAAGUUCGUGCCAGCCGCCGCCGUAACAC
rnacentral:rRNA from 1 species